rnacentral:rRNA from 1 species
UACGAAGGGGGCUAGCGUUGCUCGGAAUCACUGGGCGUAAAGGGUGCGUAGGCGGGUCUUUAAGUCAGGGGUGAAAUCCUGGAGCUCAAAUCCAGAACUGCCUUUGAUACUGAAGAUCUUGAGUUCGGGAGAGGUGAGUGGAACUGCGAGUGUAGAGGUGAAAUUCGUAGAUAUCCGCAAGAACACCAGUGGCGAAGGCGGCUCACUGGCCCGAUACUGACGCUGAGGCACGAAAGCGUGGGGAGCAAACAGG